rnacentral:rRNA from 1 species
GAUGAACGCUAGCUACAGGCUUAACACAUGCAAGUCGAGGGGUAACGAGAGGAAAGCUUGCUUUCCUUGUCGACGACCGGCGCACGGGUGAGUAACGCGUAUCCAACCUGCCCCCAACUAGGGAAUAACCUUGCGAAAGUAAGACUAAUACCCUAUAAUUUCCUCAGAUGUCAUCUGACGAGGAAUAAAGAUUUAUCGGUUGUGGAUGGGGAUGCGUCUGAUUAGCUUGUUGGCGGGGUAACGGCCCACCAAGGCAACGAUCAGUAGGGGUUCUGAGUGGAAGGUCCCCCAAAGUGGAACUGAGACACGGUCCAAACUCCUACGGGAGGCAGCAGUGAGGAAUAUUGGUCAAUGGGCGGAAGCCUGAACCAGCCAAGUAGCGUGCAGGAUGACGGCCCUAUGGGUUGUAAACUGCUUUUAUACAGGAAUAAAGUUAGCCACGUGUGGUUAUUUGUAGGUACUGUAUGAAUAAGGACCGGCUAAUUCCGUGCCAGCCGCCGCGGUAA